AGAAGUGCUGUUGUCACAGCCACAAUUAUGAUAACAAGAAAUAUCAAAUCAGCUUGUAGUUGACUCCCUCAUGGGAGUCAUGGCCAGAGACCCCGGGGCCGUCCUAGGACCCACUGGAGGGAUUAUAUCUCCAAGUUGGCCUGGGAGCGGCUUGGGGUCCCCGGGAAUGAACGAUGAAUUAACGAUAAUGAUGAUGAAAAUAAAAUAUGGCAUGUGAAAAAGAUUGGGAACCCUUUCAGUUGCUCCAUUAUUGUUAUUUUUUGGUCAUAUUUAUGUAAUUUCACUCAUUAGGCAUUACUCCAACUCAGAUGUGAAGAAUUCCAGAGCACAAUACCAUGAGCUGUUAUAUCACACUGUUGUAAAGUAAAUGUGUCCCACAGUCUAAAAAUCAAUGUGUAACAUUAUGAAUUGUUAUUAUCGAAACAUCCUGUCCAGGGUGUAUCCUGCCUUCCGCCCGAAGACUGCUGGGAUAGGCUGCAGCACCCCCCCGCCACCCUGACGGAGAAGCGGCUUAGAAAAUGGAUGGAUAGAUGGAUGGAUGGAUUGUCGAAACACGUAUUUUCUGCUGUACAUUGUUUACCUGCCUACCACUGUUAGUUAUGUAAGGACCACUGACCAAUCAAAGUCCUGGUGUGGAGUCCUGGCAUAACUGGAGGAGGAGCCUAAGCCUUAAAAGUAGGCAUUCAAACUGGCUGAAGACUAUAUGUUGUUGCAGCUACAAAAAAUGUGUCAGGCUAUAGGCUGAAGAGCAGCAGCUGGAGCUGCAGAGAGAAAGAGAUACGUGGAGGAAGCUGCAAAAAGAAGUGGACAGCAGACCUGAUGGAUGUUCUCAGUGCAGGCGUUAUCAAUGGAGUAACGCUUUAGUGACUGAGGCGGAUUCAAAGAAAUUUAUUUCAUUUAGAAAGAACGUUCACUAAGAAUAAAUGACUAAAAAAGUCAGUCAGUUCAGUCACAGUUAUUUGCAUACUCAAAUCCAACUCUACUUUGCACUCUGUCCUAGUAAGCUGAUGCACAAACUAGUGUGCUGGAAAAUGUUGUCACCACCCCUAAUCCUAGAGAUGUACUCUCCUGCCAGCU